rnacentral:rRNA from 1 species
UACAGAGGGGGCAAGCGUUGUUCGGAAUUACUGGGCGUAAAGGGCGCGUAGGCGGCCCGCUAAGUCGAACGUGAAAUCCCCGGGCUCAACCCGGGAACUGCGUCCGAUACUGGUGGGCUUGAAUCCGGGAGAGGGAUGCGGAAUUCCUGGUGUAGCGGUGAAAUGCGCAGAUAUCAGGAGGAACACCGAUGGCGAAGGCAGCUCGCUGGGACGGUACUGACGCUGAGGCGCGAAAGCGUGGGGAGCAAACAGG